UACGAAGGCGUCAAGCGUUGUCCGGAUUUAUUGGGCGUAAAGGGUCUCCAGUCGGUUUUGUUAGUCGGGCGUUAAAUCGCAGUGCCCAACGCUGCGGCCGCGUUCGAAACGGCAGAACUCGAGGUAUGAAGAGGCAAGCGGAACGGUAGGUGUAGGGGUGAAAUCCGUCGAUACCUACCGGGAACACCAGAGGCGAAGGCGGUUUGCUGGUCAUAUCCUGACGAUCAUGAG
rnacentral:rRNA from 1 species